GACGAACGCUGGCGGCGUGCUUAACACAUGCAAGUCGAACGGAAAGGCCCUGCUUGCAGGGUACUCGAGUGGCGAACGGGUGAGUAACACGUGGGUGAUCUGCCCUGCACUUCGGGAUAAGCUUGGGAAACUGGGUCUAAUACCGGAUAGGAGCCAUCUUUAGUGUGGUGGUUGGAAAGUUUUUUCGGUGUAGGAUGAGCUCGCGGCCUAUCAGCUUGUUGGUGGGGUAAUGGCCUACCAAGGCGGCGACGGGUAGCCGGCCUGAGAGGGUGUACGGCCACAUUGGGACUGAGAUACGGCCCAGACUCCUACGGGAGGCAGCAGUGGGGAAUAUUGCACAAUGGGCGCAAGCCUGAUGCAGCGACGCCGCGUGGGGGAUGAAGGCCUUCGGAUUGUAAACUCCUUUCGCUAGGGACGAAGCUUUUUUGUGACGGUACCUAGAUAAGAAGCACCGGCUAACUACGUG
rnacentral:rRNA from 1 species